AUUGAACGCUGGCGGCAUGCCUUACACAUGCAAGUCGAACGGCAGCACGGGUGCUUGCACCUGGUGGCGAGUGGCGAACGGGUGAGUAAUACAUCGGAACAUGUCCUGUAGUGGGGGAUAGCCCGGCGAAAGCCGGAUUAAUACGGCAUACGAUCUACGGAUGACAGCGGGGGACCUUCGGGCCUCGCGCUAUAGGGUUGGCCGAUGGCGGAUUAGCUAGUUGGUGGGGUAAAGGCCUACCAAGGCGACGACCAGUAGCUGAUCUGAGAGGACGACCAGCCACCCUGGAACUGAGACACGGCCCAGACUCCUACGGGAGGCAGCAGUGGGGAAUUUUGGACAAGGGGCGAAAGCCUGGUCCAGCAAUGCCGCGUGUGUGAAGAAGGCCUUCGGGUUUUAAAGCACUUUUGUCCGGAAAGAAAGCCUUGGCCCUAAUACGGUCGGGGGAUGACGGUACCGGAAGAAUAAGCACCGGCUAACUACGUG
rnacentral:rRNA from 1 species